GCCGGCGUUGGGCAGUGGUCGCCCGGUGGUCUUGAGAACCACUUUCCUCGCGAUAUCUCGGUUCGAUUCCGAGCGCCGGCG
rnacentral:tRNA from 1 species